rnacentral:misc_RNA from 1 species
GAACGCACCUUGCGCUCCUUGGUAUUCCGAGGAGCAUGCCUGUUUGAGUGUCAUUAAUAUAUCAACCUCUUCGGCUUCUGCUUGUUGAGUGUUGGAUGGUGGGGGUUUUGCUGGUGUCUUAUGAAGUCAGCUCCCCUGAAAUGCAUUAGCGGAACAAUUUGUUGAUCGUUCAUUGGUGUGAUAAAAUAUCUACGCUAUUGACGUCAGUCAGUUCAGCUUCUAACAGUCCAUUGACUUGGACAAAUUUUCAUUAAUGUGACCUCAAAUCAGGUAGGACUACCCGCUGAACUUAAG